GUCACGAUAGCUCAGGUGGUAGAGCAGCGGUGUACCAAGCCGUAGAUCGUGGGUUCGAAUCCCUCUCGUGCCA
rnacentral:tRNA from 1 species